AACGAACGCUGGCGGCAGGCUUAACACAUGCAAGUCGAACGCCCCGCAAGGGGAGUGGCAGACGGGUGAGUAACGCGUGGGAAUCUACCCAGUUCUACGGAACAACUGAGGGAAACUUCAGCUAAUACCGUAUACGCCCUACGGGGGAAAGAUUUAUCGGAAUUGGAUGAGCCCGCGUUGGAUUAGCUAGUUGGUGGGGUAAUGGCCUACCAAGGCGACGAUCCAUAGCUGGUCUGAGAGAAUGAUCAGCCACACUGGGACUGAGACACGGCCCAGACUCCUACGGGAGGCAGCAGUGGGGAAUAUUGGACAAUGGGCGCAAGCCUGAUCCAGCCAUGCCGCGUGAGUGAUGAAGGCCUAGGGUUGUAAAGCUCUUUCAGUGGGGACGAUAAUGACGGUACCCACAGAAGAAGCCCCGGCUAACUUCGUGCCAGCCGCCGCUGUAAAAC
rnacentral:rRNA from 1 species